rnacentral:tRNA from 1 species
GAAGCGGUGGUGGAAUUGGUAGACACUAAUCAGGGCGUGGACGCACUUACCAAGUACGAUAGCGACGGCUAACAGAAAGGGACAAUCCGUACAGGUUCGAAUCCUGUCCGCUUCA